UCCGUAGGGUGCAAGCGUUGUCCGGAAUUAUUGGGCGUAAAGAGCUCGUAGGCGGUCUGUCGCGUCUGCUGUGAAAAUCCAGGGCUCAACCCUGGACCUGCAGUGGGUACGGGCAGACUAGAGUGCGGUAGGGGAGAUCGGAAUUCCUGGUGUAGCGGUGAAAUGCGCAGAUAUCAGGAGGAACACGGGUGGCGAAGGCGGAUCUCUGGGCCGUAACUGACGCUGAGGAGCGAAAGCAUGGGGAGCGAACAGG
rnacentral:rRNA from 1 species